GAGGAAUAUUGGACAAUGGGCGAGAGCCUGAUCCAGCCAUGCCGCGUGCAGGAAGACGGCCCUAUGGGUUGUAAACUGCUUUUAUACAGGAAGAAACACUCCCUCGUGAGGGAGUUUGACGGUACUGUAAGAA
rnacentral:rRNA from 1 species